GUAUUGUACGAAAGGAGGGAAGAUUAGCAGUCCCCUUGACAAGGAUGGAAGAGGCCUUUGGCCCUGACAACAUGCACACUGUUAAGGCAUUGCCACCUACUCUGUGGCAUCAAACCAGUUUUC
rnacentral:ncRNA from 1 species